rnacentral:rRNA from 1 species
UACGGAGGGGGUUAGCGUUGUUCGGAAUGACUGGGCGUAAAGCGCACGUAGGCGGCUCUUUAAGUCGGGGGUGAAAUCCUGGAGCUCAACUCCAGAACUGCCUUCGAUACUGUAGAGCUUGAGUUCGGGAGAGGUGAGUGGAACUGCGAGUGUAGAGGUGAAAUUCGUAGAUAUUCGCAAGAACACCAGUGGCGAAGGCGGCUCACUGGCCCGAUACUGACGCUGAGGUGCGAAAGCGUGGGGAGCAAACAGGG